GCUUGUUCUUAAUCUAUAUCUAGUUCUACUUAUAUUCUUAUUUUUGUUGAUAUUUUUAAUGAAGUCUAUGAAGCUAAAAUAAGUAUCAAGACCCAAUUAAUGAAAGCAUGUAAAAAUGAGUACCAAGAUAUUUGACAUAAUUUGAAAAGCUAAUAAUGGCGGCCAACAAUCUUUGAUCAAUAGAAUCUUGGCUCUUUUUCAACCUUUGGUGGGAGGAAGUGAGGAAGUUCUAUUUUAUCCAUU
rnacentral:lncRNA from 1 species